GACGAACGCUGGCGGCGUGCUUAACACAUGCAAGUCGAACGGUAAGGCCCUUCGGGGUACACGAGUGGCGAACGGGUGAGUAACACGUGGGUGAUCUGCCCUGCACUUCGGGAUAAGCCUGGGAAACUGGGUCUAAUACCGGAUAGGAACACUCGCUGCAUGGGGGGUGGUGGAAAGCUUUUGCGGUGUGGGGUGGGCCCGCGGCCUAUCAGCUUGUUGGUGGGGUGAUGGCCUAACAAGGCGACGACGGGUAGCCGGCCUGAGGGGGUGACCGGCCACACUGGGACUGAGAUACGGCCCAGACUCCUACGGGAGGCAGAAGUGGGGAAUAUUGCACAAUGGGCGCAAGCCUGAUGCAGCGACGCCGCGUGAGGGAUGACGGCCUUCGGGUUGUAAACCUCUUUCAGCACCGACGAAGCGCAAGUGACGGUAGGUGCAGAAGAAGGACCGGCCAACUACGUGCCAGCAGCCGCGGUAA
rnacentral:rRNA from 1 species